ACAACCAGUUCAAUCCACCUUUAGAAAUACUUGGUGGAUCGGUUAUUGGUGAAUGAGGAGAUGAGUGCCUAACGUUGAAUCACCUCACCACCGAAAUUCAGAGGCGGUUUGUCCCCACAUGUUUGUGGCGUUGUAAAAGCUUUACCAGCACUAUUCGCUCGCAUUGUGGGUGCACUGCUUGCCAUUGGAGAAAUCCCCAUUCAUCAAA
rnacentral:misc_RNA from 1 species